UUUAUGGAGAGUUUGAUCCUGGCUCAGGAUGAACGCUGGCGGCGUGCCUAAUACAUGCAAGUCGAGCGAACGGACGAGAAGCUUGCUUUUCUGAUGUUAGCGGCGGACGGGUGAGUAACACGUGGAUAACCUACCUAUAAGACUGGGAUAACUUCGGGAAACCGGAGCUAAUACCGGAUAAUAUUUUGAACCGCAUGGUUCAAAAGUGAAAGACGGUCUUGCUGUCACUUAUAGAUGGAUCCGCGCUGCAUUAGCUAGUUGGUAAGGUAACGGCUUACCAAGGCAACGAUGCAUAGCCGACCUGAGAGGGUGAUCGGCCACACUGGAACUGAGACACGGUCCAGACUCCUACGGGAGGCAGCAGUAGGGAAUCUUCCGCAAUGGGCGAAAGCCUGACGGAGCAACGCCGCGUGAGUGAUGAAGGUCUUCGGAUCGUAAAACUCUGUUAUUAGGGAAGAACAUAUGUGUAAGUAACUGUGCACAUCUUGACGGUACCUAAUCAGAAAGCCACGGCUAACUACGUGCCAGCAGCCGCGGUAAUACGUAGGUGGCAAGCGUUAUCCGGAAUUAUUGGGCGUAAAGCGCGCGUAGGCGGUUUUUUAAGUCUGAUGUGAAAGCCCACGGCUCAACCGUGGAGGGUCAUUGGAAACUGGAAAACUUGAGUGCAGAAGAGGAAAGUGGAAUUCCAUGUGUAGCGGUGAAAUGCGCAGAGAUAUGGAGGAACACCAGUGGCGAAGGCGACUUUCUGGUCUGUAACUGACGCUGAUGUGCGAAAGCGUGGGGAUCAAACAG
rnacentral:rRNA from 1 species